rnacentral:rRNA from 1 species
UACGUGGGGGGCAAGCGUUGUCCGGAUUUAUUGGGCGUAAAGAGCGUGUAGGCGGCUUGGUAGGUCCGCUGUGAAAACUCGAGGCUUAACCUCGAGCUGUCGGCGGAAACCAUCUGGCUAGAGUCCGGAAGAGGAGAAUGGAAUUCCCGGUGUAGCGGUGAAAUGCGCAGAUAUCGGGAAGAACACCCGUGGCGAAGGCGGUUCUCUGGGACGGUACUGACGCUGAGACGCGAAAGCGUGGGGAGCGAACAGG